UUUUCUCCCACUCUGUGGGUGUUCUCUUCAGUUUAGAGACCAUUUCUUUUGAUGAACAGAAGCUUUUUAGUUUGAUGAGGUCUAUGGGUCAUUCUUUGUUACACUGAGUUUUCUUAUCAGAGACACAUGGAAGAAGUGUCGAACCAAGUCUCUUCCCACUAAUACCCCCUCCUUCUCUUUUCAGUGCAUUUUUUUGUGUGUAUAGUCAAACACGCAAUUAUGUUCUAAAGACAAAAGCAAAGUGCCAAUGGUACAACGGGAGAAAGAAUGGGUGGCCUUCUUGAUAUUCCAGGAUGAGAAGCUCAGUAUCAAAGUACCAGCAUCUGAUGAGAGCCUUGUUUCUGGGUCAUAGGCGCUCAGGGGACCAUAGAUCAGAAGGGCAAAGGAGGGUGAACACCAGACACAGAAGGAGGGAUGAACUUGUCCUUGUAAGGAACACAUUCCCUAGAUAACAAACCAUCAUGGGAGAGGUUGGAUUCAAGUUCUGUCAUGCCGAGGGAGUCAGAGGACCCACAGACCCCGCCCUGAUCCAGGGCAGCCAAUGGCAGUUUAGAAGUUGGGUGGGGAGGUAGGCCAGCCAGCAGACUUGGGGCUUUAAAGCCUGACUCCUGGUAUCAGGACUCAGAGGCUUGCAGGGUAGCCAUCUUUGAAGAACUGAGUCUUUGGAGUGUACCUGAAGAGCUACGGCCAAAUCAGGUGAGUGUCCCAUUGAAUUGUGGUAGGAACAGUGAAUGGAGAAUGGGAUCCCUGCUGGGAUGCUGUCAACUAGAUAGAUACAACCUUCAUGAACAAGACCACCUGUGCCAUCGCUGGAAAUUGUGACCAUCCAGGAGGAAAGGAAGGGGGAACCAAGUGUGCCACCAUGAUGACACGGAGGUUCAUGGUUUCUGCAAUUCAGUCAGGCUCAGGACCUGGCCAGAUAGCAUAUGGCAGCUGGACCUCUGCAAACCAGGCUGUGAUGCUCCAUCCUUUUUGUACCACAAGGUAAUAUCCUCUUGUUGAUCACUACUGGGUAACGUCCUAUAAGCACCAAGGGAUGUGCUGAGGGCAGAAAAAUCAUGGCAUGUCCUUGAACAGACUCUGCCCAAAGUCCCAGAGGGGAGACCUACCCUAGACCUGAAUCUGGAGCUCUGGGAUCUUCUUGCCCCUGUUCAGGUGCUGGCAUUGGUAUCUCAUAUUUCCAUUUUCUUGGCCACAUGACCACGUGGAAGUUGGAUGCUGAUGUGUGGAACUGCUGGAGUGCCGAGUGCUGUUCUUCACAGUUUCUCUAGGAAGGAUUUUCCUGAAGGGGUUCACUUAAGAAGGGGAAGUUCCUAAGACAUAGCGCAUCUGAUGUUGGGUAUUAACCAAGAUCAAGGUGUGAGGUGUUCUCCCAAUUCUGGUAUUUAUCUUUGCCCCCAUGUGGAAUCAAACAUCCCAGCUAGAAACACGUUGUUUGAAUGACAAAUCCUAGCUCAACCACUUCCUAGUUGCCCGUUGUUUACUUAAGUCUCUGACCCAUGGGUAUAUCGCUAGCAUUCUAAUAUCCUAAACUAACACUGCAUACACUACCCCAACUCCUAAACAUCUGGCAGGAGGCUCUUCAUCUUGGUGUCAACAAACCAUAUGCUCAGCCUUUUCCACAAUCUUUGGGUAAUCCUUCCAAAACAGUUUAAAUAUUGUUAUUCCUCCAUGGAGUCCUCCAUUUCUCAGGUACGAAAAAGAAGGCUGUUAUAGAAGCCUUGGUCAGAUGAGACCCUCAUUUCUUUCCCUUUCUAGGUUGUAAAGCAUGAGUCCUUCCCUUUUCCUCGCCGUCCUUUGCUUGGGGGUGGCGUCAGAUGCUCCAACACUUACUCACACUUUGGGUGCACAAUGGGAAGAGUGGAAGACAAAACAGCAGAACCUACAGCUCAGCAGGUCACAUUGAAAGUGUCCAGAGGGACUCCUACAGAAUGGUCUCUAGGACCUUUGCUGUUGGGACUUUAUAGCUCAGGAGUAGACUUUAGAAGCUACAUUUUACCAAGGCACUAACCUAAUGACACCUGUUUGAGCACAAUGUGGGAAACAACCCUCUUGUUUCUGGACAUUUGUAGCUCCCAGAAGUUCAAACCUAUUCCCGGUCAUGGUGUCUUUUCAUCUUUUGGGCGUGGGUUUUAAAAGAAAGAGAUACCAUCACUUGUACUUAUUUCUAGAAUGAAGAAGGACAGGGGAGAGCAGUAUGGGAGGAGAAUUUGAAAAUGAUUGAGCUGCACGAUGAGGAACACAAGGAAGGGAAACACGGCUUCACCAUGGGAAUGAAGCCUUUGGCGACCUGACCCAUGAAGAAUUCAGGAAGACAAAGCAUGGCUAUUGGAUCCCAAAGCCUGAGAGAGAGUGUUUCAGGGAUCUAUAUUACAAGAUGUCCCCAAAUAUGCGGUUCUAGAGGGAAAGGAUUUGUGACUCCUGUGAAGGAUCGGCUAUGACAUCAUAUAUGACGCUGUCACAUUCAACCCUUCCAGUGCCCAGAGGAAAGCCAAGAAGCUGGAGUAAGAAAUGGGGCAUGGACAGCUACGUGAAGAUCUCAGAGGCCAGGAUGACCGCUGUGGGAUUGCCACAUGGGCCAGCUACCCCACUGGGUGAGCUCCUGGAUGGUGAUAGGAAGGCCUCGACCGUGGACAUCAUGCCCAGAAGAGGGACUUUUUCUUUAAGGUGACAGCUCCUACUGUAUAGGAUCCAACACUUGAGUCACUGAUGAGUUGUGAUGUGAAUUCUGUGACAUUUUUAGAGCAGUGAAAUGAUUCCACUACAUAGUAACUGACAUAAGUAGAUUGGAAUUAUUGAUUCACAUAAGGAAUGCAUUGACUCAUUUGAUAAUAAAAUUUAAAUUUUGUAAGGAUGGUAACAGCUUUCUCUUUAUAAUGUCAUUUAUCUCUGAAGACAGAAUUGAAUGUGUCAACUCUGCACCAGGACAAAGAAGGGGUGCCUUCCACCUCCUCUAGUCAAACAUAUGCAAACUUUACGUCAGGUGCCCAGGAGCUGUGUCAAACCCUGUCCUUGAGAGAAGCAACACUUGACAAAAGCUGUGUGAGAACAAAGGAAACUUGUUUGAAUAAAGAAAAAAAAUCAAUUGUUAGAAAAGCAAACAAUAGAUCUAUUAUUUUACUACUAUAAAAGGGCCUGGGAGAUCCAGUUCAUUAAGCAAGGUGGUUGUAGUCCCGUCAGGUUAUGGACCAAACAUGUGGAUCUUGAUUCUGGGAUAUCGUCACCAACUGUGGGUAAAGACCUGCUGGCCAUGUUGCAGCCAAGGAAGGCCAGGACACUGGUGGGUGGCCAAGGAGGAUAGGAUUCCUGGGUGAAGGCCGGGCUUCAAACAUGGUUCCGUAGUCUUAGAAGGUGGCAGACAGAUGGAAGGAUCAGAAGUGAGGGUCUGAAUAUACAUUAAACCAAGCUGCAGGUAAUCUUAGAAAAGUGCAUCUGUAUUUGAACAUAAAUUAAUAAGUGCUGCCCAGAAACACGGCCUCUUUUCCAGUGAAAUUUGUAAAGUUUCACAAUUCGUGUAUUUAAAAGGCUGCUAUUCUUUUGCACAUGUACAUUCAGCACUGUCUAUUGCUCACCUUCAUGAGGCGGUACUUGCUGGGGCUGAGGACACAAAAGUGAACCAGAUAACCCUGGUCC